UGGGGAAUUUUGGACAAUGGGCGCAAGCCUGAUCCAGCCAUGCCGCGUGCGGGAAGAAGGCCUUCGGGUUGUAAACCGCUUUUGUCAGGGAAGAAAUCUUCUGAGUUAAUACCUCGGGAGGAUGACGGUACCUGAAGAAUAAGCACCGGCUAACUACGUGCCAGCAGCCGCGGUAAUACGUAGGGUGCAAGCGUUAAUCGGAAUACUGGGCGUAAAGCGUGCGCAGGCGGUUUUGUAAGACAGAGGUGAAAUCCCCGGGCUCAACCUGGGAACUGCCUUUGUGACUGCAAGGCUUGAGUGCGGCAGAGGGGGAUGGAAUUCCGCGUGUAGCAGUGAAAUGCGUAGAUAUGCGGAGGAACACCGAUGGCGAAGGCAAUCCCCUGGGCCUGCACUGACGCUCAUGCACGAAAGCGUGGGGAGCAAACAGGAUUAGAUACCCUGGUAGUCCACGCCCUAAACGAUGUCAACUGGUUGUUGGGAAGGUUCCUUCUCAGUAACGUAGCUAACGCGUGAAGUUGACCGCCUGGGGAGUACGGCCGCAAGGUUGAAACUAAAUGGAAUUGACGGGGUCAUAGCUGUUUCC
rnacentral:rRNA from 1 species